rnacentral:tRNA from 1 species
GGGCCUUUAGCUCAGUUGGUAGAGCACAGGACUGAAAAUCCUGGUGUCCCCAGUUCGAAUCUGGGAGGGCCCACCA